AAAGAAUUAGUUAAAAAAUAACAUAAAUAUGUCAAAUUUAAAUUAUUAUAUUAAAUUAAUAUUCUUUU
rnacentral:tRNA from 1 species